rnacentral:lncRNA from 1 species
AAUUUGAGGCAGGGAAAAUUUUUUCCAAUCUCACAUUUUGCUCAGGAUUUUGGAGGGGAAAAUUGGGGAAAAAAAUGGGAAUUUGAGGUUUGGGGAGGGAUUUUUCCAACCUCACAUUUUGUGCUCGGUGUGCACAAUAUAGAAGGGGAAAUUUGAGGGGAAAUGGGAGGAAAAAAUCAGGGAAAAAAGAGGAAAUUGAGGUGGGGAAGUUUUGCAACCUCGCAUUUUGUGUUUGGGAGGGGAAAAUUGGGGUGAAAUCAGGAAAUUGGAGGAUUUUCCCACCUCACAUUUUGUGUUUCCUGAUCACAAUUUCAGAGGGGGAAAAUUGGGGUGAAAUCAGGAAAUUGGAGGAUUUUCCCACCUCACAUUUUGUGUUUCCUGAUCACAAUUUCAGAGGGGAAAAUUGGGGUAAAAUCAGGAAAUUUGAGGCAGGAAAAGGGGGAGUUUUCCCACCUCACAUUUUGCAUUUCCCGAGCACAAUUUCAGAGGUGAAAAUCGGGCUGAAAUCGGGGUAAAAUCAGGAAAUCCGAGGCAGCAAGGGGGCGCUUUUCCCACCUCACAUCUCGUGUACCCGAGCACAAUUUCAGAGGUGGAAAUCGCGGUAAAAUCGGGCUGAAAUCGGGGUAAAAUCAGGAAAUUUGAGGCAGGAAAAGGGGGAGUUUUCCCACCUCACAUCUUGU